GACUCGACUCGACGCGAGUCGACUCGGCAACGAUUCAGUCGCGGCCGACCCGCCACGCUGCGAGCUUUGCCGAGUACGCGAGUGCUCCGAAUUGCCUCUUUCUCUCUUCUCUUCGUGUGCUCGCUUCUAUUUCUCCCUCGUGAUCUCUACUUAGCCGACCGUCUCUUUCCAUCGCACGUUACUGUGCUCACUAUAUCUCUCUCUCUUUUUCUCUCUCUACCUUCUCCUCCUCUCUCAUCUUCCCGAGUCAUCGCGCUCCAAGAAAGCUUGCCCCGUACGGUCCCAGAGUGGUGACCAAAUUUCCAGUCGAAAUAAAUCCGAACUGUGGUUCGUCUUGUAUUUCUCCACGGACAGAGAAAGAGACGACAAUAAAUAAAUAUAUAAAUAAAUAUAUAUAUAUAUAUAUAUAUAUAUAUAUAUAUAGAAAUAUAGAGAAAGGGGGGAGAGAGGGAGGGAAAGAGGGAGAGAGAGGGAGAGAGAGGGAGGAAAUGUUUCCGCGCGCUCGCGAAAUCGACUUCGAGACUCGAAGCUCCGGGCUCGGAGCUUGCGCCGAUUCGUCGCGUCGGAGCCGGGCUCGCGCGCGAUACAACGCGGCGGAUCUAUCCGAUUUGUCGCGUCGUAAGCGCGACUGGCGGCUCGUACCGAUUCGCGAAUGAAUUUCGGCAGAUUUGUGCCUCCUGUGUACAAACGCGACGAAAUUCUGUGAAGUGCGCGAAUACGUGAGGAAAAGGUGAGGUGAGAGCGUCGACUUCCGCGCGACGCGAGAGUACGCGACAAUAAGAGCCUUCCUCGACAAUCGCGGCGGAUCGUCGCACCGUGCGCGAGGAAGGGACGACGGACGGACAGAAUGAGCGAGCGGCAGGUGUCCGGGUCGUUUAGCCCGCGGGUGGAAACGAACGCUCCGGAUCGUGUCGAUUUUCGCACGCGGCCGAUCGAGGACGAGUAAGGGAGCCGCGCUGCGAGUUUCAGCCGGCCGAGAGGGCUUCUUCAGGGCUCACCAGCGCGGCCCAGCCGGAGAUGUUCCCCGUGAGCGGCGCAAUCAAGUGGAUGACCCGCUCCGGCCCGGUGGAAAGUGCUCGACGCGCGACGCCAGUGAACAACGCGCCGCGAUAAUGGAGUGAUACGCCAGUAGCCGUGAUAACGCCGAUGGUGCACGUGCGCGAAUGACGAGGAGUAGUGCUUCCUGCGAGGACGUGAUGCUCCACGCGCCGAUGAUCUUCCCGCAAGGCUGCGAGGUAGCCGCGGAGGAGUAGGAUGCGACAGAUCGGCCUGCUGGGCCGAAUUACGCAUCCGCGAGAGCAUUGCACGCGCGACGACGACAUAACGACGUCGCACUGAGCCGAAAACGAGCUAAAGCUCCUUCGCGGGGUGCUUCUCUUUCCUCUGAGUCGGCUUCCUGAAUCCCGUGAACGUCAAUUUCGCCAGCCAAGG